AAUGAACGCUGGCGGCGUGCUUAACACAUGCAAGUCGAACGGUAACAGAGAGAAGCUUGCUUCUUUGCUGACGAGUGGCGCACGGGUGAGUAAUAGAUAGAUAAUGUACCCUUUAGUCUGGGAUAGCCACUGGAAACGGUGAUUAAUACUAGAUACGCCUUUUUACCUUAUGGUAAUUUGGGAAAGGUUUUUCGCUAAGGGAUCAGUCUAUCUCCUAUCAGUUAGUUGGUGAGGUAAGAGCUCACCAAGGCAAUGACGGGUAGCGGGUUUGAGAGGAUGAUCCGCCACACUGGAACUGAGACACGGUCCAGACUCCUACGGGAGGCAGCAGUGAGGAAUAUUGCACAAUGGGGGGAACCCUGAUGCAGCAACGCCGCGUAGAGGAUGACGCAUUUCGGUGUGUAAACUCCUUUUAUAAGAGGAGAACAUGACGGUAUCUUAUGAAUAAGCUCCGGCUAACUCCGUGCCAGCAGCCGCGGUAAUACGGAGGGAGCAAGCGUUAUUCGGAAUCACUGGGCGUAAAGGACGCGUAGGCGGGUUGGUAAGUCAGAUGUGAAAUCCUACAGCUCAACUGUAGAACUGCAUUUGAAACUACUAACCUAGAGUAUGGAAGGGGUAGAUGGAAUUAGUGGUGUAGGGGUAAAAUCCGUAGAUAUCACUAGGAAUACCGAAAGCGAAGGCGAUCCGCUGGGACAUUACUGACGCUGAGGCGUGAAAGCGUGGGGAGCAAACAGGAUUAGAUACCCUGGUAGUCCACGCCCUAAACGAUGAACACUAGUCGUCGGGGUACAAGUUACUUCGGUGAUGCACUUAACAGAUUAAGUGUUCCGCCUGGGGAGUACGGUCGCAAGAUUAAAACUCAAAGGAAUAGACGGGGACCCGCACAAGUGGUGGAGCAUGUGGUUUAAUUCGAAGAUACGCGAAGAACCUUACCUGGCCUUGACAUCCCAAUAAUUUAGCAGAGAUGCUUUAGUGCCUGCUUGCUG
rnacentral:rRNA from 1 species